rnacentral:rRNA from 1 species
UACAGAGGUCUCAAGCGUUGUUCGGAAUCACUGGGCGUAAAGGGUGCGUAGGUGGCGUGGAAAGUCAGAUGUGAAAUCCGGAGGCUCAACCUCCGAAUAGCAUCCGAUACUCCCAUGCUAGAGAACUGGAGGGGAUCUGGAAUUCUCGGUGUAGCAGUGAAAUGCGUAGAUAUCGAGAGGAACACUAGUGGCGAAGGCGAGAUCCUGGACAGUUUCUGACACUGAUGCACGAAGGCCAGGGGAGCGAACGGG